AGGGAAAGAUGAAGUAAUGAUGAAAAACCAAGAAACAAGCAGCAAAGACAAACCCUUGUACCUCUUGCAUCAUGAUUUAAUAAACACUACAAAGCAAAAUGAACUUAAGCUUGUCACCCCAAAACCCAAAUGAGCUACUUACAAGCAGCUAUCUCUGAGCAAACCCAUAUCUGUUGCAAAAGAGUGGGACGAUUUGUUAGUAGAGGCAAAAAGCCAACUGAGCUGGGUCAUACCUAUUUGUCUGUGAAAUGAAUCUAAGUUCUCUUAAUUCUUCUCCAUGGACAAUUCAAUCUAACUACUAUGUAGUGAAUCAAGAGCAAUUCAAAGGGGGUACAGCUCCUUUAAAAAAGAACACAAUCUCCCCUAGCAGAUAACUAAUCAACUCUUAUUCUCCAAACUGUAGACGAUCAAGCAGCCAUCAACAAAGAGUGUGUCAAAGCUCUACACCUAAAAAUCCAAAACCAGUACAACUCCCUUAUUGCUAACAGGCUAACUAUAACAAUAGGAGGACUAAUGCAAAAUGAGUAACUGGGGCCCCUCCGCUCUCAAGCACAAGCUUACACAUCUACAUUAUUAACAGACCACAGCUAAUACCACAAACCUAACAGGACUAGACAUUAAAUCCACCCUGUCUACUCAACUCAGGAGCACCCAUUAGAAAGAUGAAAAUCUGUAGAAGGAACUAGGCAAACCCAGGGCCCCACUCUUUACCAAAAACCAUAGCCUUCAGCCAACCAAGUAUUGAAGGUGAUGCUUGCCCAGUGACACCAUGUUUAAUGGCUGCAGUAUCCUAACAGUGUGAAGGUAGCACAAUCGAUUGUCCCAUAUAUCAAGACUUGUAUGAAUGGCUAAGCGAGGUCCUAACUGUCUCUUACAGAUAACCAGUGAAUUUGAUCUUUCUGUGUAAAAGCAGGAAUAAAUACAUAAGACAAGAAGACCCUGUGAAACUUAAAAAUCAGCGACCACUCCACAACAACUCAAACCUACCAGGUUCACCACCCUCAAAACACUGGCCUGCGUUUUUUGAUUGGGGCAAUCUUGGAGAAAAAUGAACCCUCCAAAACCAAGACCAUGCCUCCUAACCAAGAGCAACCUCUCAACCUACUAACAGUAACCAGACCCAAUAUGAUGGCUAUCUCUGGGUAGCCCAGAGAUAACAGUGCAAUCUCCUUCGAGAGCCCAUAUUGACAAAGAAGUUUGUGACCUUGGUGUUGGAUCAGGACAUCCUACUGGUGCAGCCACUAUUAAGGGUUCAUUUUUUCAGCGAGUAACAGCCUUACAUUAUCUGAGUUCAGGCUGUACCAAUCCAGGUCGGUUGCUAUCUGUGCAUGCACUUUCCCUAG
rnacentral:rRNA from 1 species